AAUUGAGAUAGUAAUAGUAUUCACCUCACUGAGUGCUGCGGUUUGGUGCCUGGCACAUAAUAGGGACUUCAUAGACAGUUGUUACUAUUAUUACCUCUUCCCCCACAUUUGGGGUUUGGCAGAGGGAUGUAUUGGCUACAUGGUCAUUAAGGAUCUGUUAAGCACCUCCUAUGCACGAGGGAGAUCACAUGGUAUGGUCCAAGAGUCUUGGAGUUAGAUGUGGGGUUGAAUCCUGGCCCUGUCACUUCAUAGCUGUGUGUGACCUUGUAAAAUUCUGUCUCCUCUCUGAGCUGAAGUUCCCCCACAGGAAAAUAGGGACCGUAAUGCCCAUCUUCCGGGGCCAAUGCUGGAUUCAAUGAGAUAAUGUACAGGGAGUGCCCAGGGCAGUUCUCAGCACACAAUAGUGCCUCUCAGUAAAUAAGAGACGCAGGAUGGAGAGGACAGGCUCAGUUUCUGCUACAGAAGAGCUCUGGGCAGAGCAGCUCAGAACACUUAUCACACCUUUCUCCUUGACCCUCACCUCUCUGGAAGAUUAGAAGCAGAAGAUUUAUUGGAUCAACUUCUCAGCUGUGGAAUCUGAGCAAACAGAAGGGAAGUGGCUGAGGGAGGCCUCAGACCAGCUGUAUCCCUGGACCAGAGGUCACAGCGCUGGCUAAGGAAACCUUCCAUGCAGGAGUGCUGUGAGCUGAGCAGUGCAUAAGAAAAGAGUGUUUGUGGGAAUCAGCAUUUUACCACCUGGCAGACCUGCCUGGGCUGUAGCAGAGCCUCCCCACUCAGUGGACAAGGGACAGGAGGGAUCAAAGGUUGAGGAAAGAUAUUAUUUCAAUCAAGAUAAUGAUUCUACUUCUUGAACGGAAAUGAGAUUUUUUUUCAUUGCCUCAUGGGGGUGCCACCAACAUCUGUCUCCGGGCUGGAACAGGUCAUGAACAAGUUAGAGGAUUUUCUUGUAACCUGAGAGAGAGUGUAAACAUGAAGGAGAACUGAAAGAAGGGAGCUUGCUUGCAAGAGAAAAACAUAUCUGCCAGGCCUCCACGAUUAUAAAAUAAGCUCAAUUUGGAAAAUGUACACUGGCAUUGAACAGAGCAUUCAAGACCGAACUUCAGAAGGUAAGUGUCCGGUGUGAGCCCUACAGCCUGGAAUUCAAGUGAGGUAAAUGGCCUAAAAAUGCCAUGAUAAUACCAAAGAUGCACAGAGGAGACUCAGCUAUGACAGGACCUUAGACGUCUUCUAAGCCUGUUGUCAGGCAGUGUGGAUCAGCUGUGUAACUGUGCUGACGGAUGACCUAGCUCCUGUUUCAGCCCCUUCUACCAGAGGGGGCUCGCCACCAAAAGAACCCAUUCCAUCUUGGACCAGAUCCUGUGUUGAGGAAGUACCUCCAAAUUAUAGUCAAGUCACUGAAUAAAAGGAAACCACAGUGAAAACUCACACGGUGCUGACAAUGCAGGAAAUCUAAAUGCACUUUGGAAACAGAAUACACAAUAUGCAAAUGACAUCAGAUAAUAAAUGCAGGGAGACCUCAAUGAUUUGCACUAAAUAGUGAAGUUAGUGAAAUUUUAAAUUAUUUUAAAUAUUUGGGAAUUCCAGGGGCUGUCAUGCGGUAUCUCAAAUAAUUUGCUUUAAAUAAUAAUUUA
rnacentral:lncRNA from 1 species